GGGUCGAUGUCCGAGUGGUUAAAGGAGGCGGAUUGUAAAUCCGCUGGCUACGCCUACGCUGGUUCGAAUCCUGCUCGACCCA
rnacentral:tRNA from 1 species